rnacentral:rRNA from 1 species
UACGUAGGGUGCAAGCGUUAAUCGGAAUUACUGGGCGUAAAGCGUGCGCAGGCGGCUUUGCAAGACAGAUGUGAAAUCCCCGGGCUUAACCUGGGAACUGCAUUUGUGACUGCAUGGCUAGAGUGCGGCAGAGGGGGAUGGAAUUCCGCGUGUAGCAGUGAAAUGCGUAGAUAUGCGGAGGAACACCGAUGGCGAGGGCAAUCCCCUGGGCCUGCACUGACGCUCAUGCACGAAAGCGUGGGGAGCAAACAGG